AAGCCUCAACCACUCUAAAACUCCCGUAUCCUUGGCUUGCUCCACUCUGAUGAACCUGUACCCUAAACUCUGAACCAAAAUAAACCCCUCCUUCCUGAAGUUGCCUUUGUCAUAGCAACAGGGAAAGUAACCAUGACAGUAAAUACUGUGGACGAAAGUUUAUUCCACACGUGACUUAGCUACUCAGGUAACAGAGUGACCCUGGCUCGUGCCUGGGCUAAGCCGUUCCUUUGUCCCGUGCCCUCUCUGGCCAGGAGAAUGCUCUACAAGUGUAGGCAGUGAUGAAGAGCAUGGGCUGAAGGGUAGCAUCUACCCAACAUUGGUGGAGGGCUUGAGCUCUCUCUGUGCUUUCCGAAGCCUACUUGAACUGACCCGGUGGUCCUGGCAGGUUGGUUACCCAGGCUUCCCUUCGCCUCCCGCUGGGAAAGGGCAGACCCCACUGGCAGAUGGAGGUCCUGAACUGAAGUGAUGUUUGGCUGCGAAGGCUCCAGGGCAGGCAGACUUGGGAUUCAGCACUAACCACUAAUACCAGAAACGCUUCCUCAGAGACUGGUGACUGAUGUCACUGCACUGUGUCCGGGGACUUUCUCAGCAAAUGCAUCCUAGAUGCUGAGCGAGUGGGGCAGCUGCCUGGGUGAUUACUACCCUAAAGCGUGGCGUGUGGAGAAUGGAAAACGGAACGUGCUGAGGGCCACCGUACCCUCCACUGUCCCCGGCUCUCAAAAGCCACAACAGCCAGGAGAGUCUCUCUGGGACCUUCGCCCUCCCAACCCCUGGAGAUUACACAGGGACAGGUGUCCUGCUCUCCACCUGGGCUCCAUGAGGGCAAGAACAGUUUGUGUCUGUGCUUCGUAAAUUAUUUCUCCCGGUCCGCACCAGAGAAUUUUCCUUGCAUCUGUGUCAGGUCAAGACACAAGGAAAGAAACUUCAGGACAGUUUCUUUCAGCCCUGCAGCCUCUGUAACCCACUCAUGGCCUUUCUAAAACGUGUCAUUGUGAAGUAUAACGAGAGGUCUGAAGCUAACACUCGUAAUAAAGAUGAUGGAGUCAAAGCUAGGAGGUGGUGGUGGCUCUCACCUUUAAUCCCAGCACUCGGGAGGCAGAGGCAGGCGGAUCUCUGAGUUGGAGGUCAGCCUGGUAUACAGAGCGAGUUCCAGGACAGCCAGGGCUACACAGAGAAGCCCUGUCUCAAACAGCUGAAGAAAAGAAGAAUAUUAGAGUGAAAGUUUGCCAGAUAGCUCAGCAGGUGAAGGCACUUGCUGCCAAGCCUGGCAACCUGAACUGUUUUCCCAGAACCCACAUGGUGGGGGCAGAGAAUGGGCUCCUACAGGUUUGUCUUCAGACACCACACAUGUACAGGUUUGUCUUCUGACACCACACAUGUACCGUGACACGUAUGCCCACAUACAUACCCACAAAUAAAUAAGUGCGGUAACAUUUUCUUAAAGAUUGGAAUGAAAUGAACCCAUGAGUGACAACAGUCAUAAAUACCCAUGGAAACUAGUAAUACUGGGUGGAAUUGACAUAGACUGUGAAUCUGUUGUGGGGUUAUUGUUAUUCAAUCAUUUGUGGCAUUUUGAGAAGACACAAACAUGUCAAUCCACGCGCCUGACACAACGUGGCCACCACAUUAGGUCAGCGCCAGGGCCUCCUCCAGUGUGACCUGUCUUCGGUUCCCUGAUGACAAAUGCUGCGGCUCAUUGUGUGUGACAGGAGAUAGAAGUGGGAGCUGAGGUUAGCUUGGUCUGUGUAGCCAGAUCCUAUCUCAAAGAAACAUCCAAACACAAACUAGAUCUCUGCUGGAAGUCUUGUCUGUGUCCUCUGAUGUCCAUCUUCCCCUUCUUCUGAGGUGACAGCGACCUGCUUUUGGGCAUGUGGCUGGCUGGGACAGAGACUGUUUCCCAGCCCUGCUUGUACCCUGAGGAGGCCAGUGGCUUUGUUCUAGUGAAUGACACGUGAGAUGAGGGCCACCCCUGGAGCUUUCUUCACACGGUAGCUAGCAUACCUUCCGUGACCCCGCCUAAGGCCUUCCCUUCCUGCUACCAUCUGGAACGUGUUAACUGUGGAAGGCUGUGUCCUGAAGAGGCAGGUACCAGAGUGAAGGAACUCGGGAGCCUGGCGGUCCAUGAGAUAUUUUAUCUGCACUAGGCCACCAUCUCCUAGCUUCUUGAGAAGAAGGAAAAAUAAAUUCCUAGUUGGUUAAGGUCA